rnacentral:rRNA from 1 species
ACAACAGCUAUAAUCUACUCGAUCUUGAAACCCUACUAGGAUAACUGUGGUAAUUCUAGAGCUAAUACUUGCACCGAAGCUGUUCCUCGCGGAGCAGUGCAUUUAUUGGAGCAAAACCAGGCGGCUUCGGCCGUUUCUGCUGACUCAGAAUAACUAAGCUGACCGAAUGGGCUUGUCCCGUCGGCGUGUCGUUCGAGUGUCUGCCUUAUCAACUUUCGAUGGUAGUGUACGUGACUACCAUGGUUGUGACGGGUAACGGAGGAUAAGGGUUCGACUCCGGAGAAGGGGCCUGAGAAAUGGCCACUACGUCUAAGGAUGGCAGCAGGCGCGCAAAUUACCCACUCUCGGUUCGAGGAGGUAGUGACGAAAAAUAACAAGGCCGUUCUCUACGAGGCCGGCCAUUGGAAUGGGUACAACUCAAACCCUUUAACGAGUAUCAAUGAGAGGGCAAGUCUGGUGCCAGCAGCCGCGGUAAUUCCAGCUCUCAAAAUGCAUAGAACCAUUGCUGCGGUUAAAAAGCUCGUAGUUGGAUUUGUGCCGGCGCCAUGGUCCACCCUAGCGGGCGGUACUGUGCGCGUCGGCUUUGGGCCGGUCUCCGGGCGACGCUCUUCACUGGGCGCCGUCCGUGGCUGGCUGGUUUACUUUGAGCAAAUCAGAGUGCUCAGCACAGGCGUCUCGCCGGAAUGUUCGUGCAUGGAAUAAUAGAACAGGAUCACGGUCCUCUUUUAUUGGUUUUGUGGACUGAGAUAAUGGUUAACAGAGACGAACGGGGGCAUUCGUAUUGCUGCGUGAGAGGUGAAAUUCUUGGACCGCAGCAGGACGGACUACAGCGAAAGCAUUUGCCAAGCGCGUCUUCAUUAAUCAAGAACGAAAGUCAGAGGUUCGAAGGCGAUCAGAUACCGCCCUAGUUCUGACCGUAAACGAUGCCAACUAGCGAUCCGCCGGUGGCUCUAAGGCCCUGGUGGGGAGCUUCCCGGAAACGAAAGUCUUCCGGUUCCGGGGGAAGUAUGGUUGCAAAGCUGAAACUUAAAGGAAUUGACGGAAGGGCACCACCAGGAGUGGAGCCUGCGGCUUAAUUUGACUCAACACGGGAAAACUCACCCGGCCCGGACACCGUAAGGAUUGACAGAUUGAUAGCUUUUUCAUGAUUCGGUGGUUGGUGGUGCAUGGCCGUUCUUAGUUCGUGGAUCGAUUUGUCUGGUUUAUUCCGAUAACGAGCGAGACUCCAGCCUACUAACUAGUGCUGGCAUUGCUACUGUGCCGUUGCACUUCUUAGAGGGAUUGGCUGCGUCUAGCGGCACGAAACGGAGCAAUAACAGGUCUGUGAUGCCCUUAGAUGUCCGGGGCUGCACGCGCGCUACACUGGCAAAGGCAGCGUGCUUGUCCGUCUCCGAAAGGAGUCGGUAAACCCUUGAAAAUUUGCCGUGAUUGGGAUCGGAAAUUGCAAUUAUUUUCCGUGAACGAGGAAUUCCUAGUAAGUGCGAGUCAUCAGCUCGCGUUGAUUACGUCCCUGCCCUUUGUACACACCGCCCGUCGCUGCCUAGAACUGAGCCAUUUCGAGAAUAUUCGGGAUCGCUGGUUGCGCGCUCUUCGGGGCGUGCCUCCGGCCGGAGAACGAACGUAAUCGC